GAUUCAAAUCAGAAUUGGCUUAAGGGAGAAGGAGUGUGCCACACUUUGUGGAGGGAGCCCAGGUUCCCCGACAGACACUGCGAUGGGGGGAAGAAUAAAAACGGGCCUUGGAGGAUUCUUGUUUAAGUGCCAUUAACUGGACCUGUGAGCUUGCGGGCUAUUGUACCCCCUUGGGGAGCCUGUGAUGUAAGCAAUGAGUUCUGUGAAAAGGCACACCUCCUGUACUGAGAAUUCUGUGUACAUGACACAAGGAUGUUCAAGUGGAAGAUGUUCAACCUCUAAUGCAGUUUCAUCCAAUAAAAUUAUUUUUAGAUUUUUAAAA